GGCGCUGUGGCUCAAGUGGUAGAGCACUAGCCUUGAGCUGAAGAGCUCCUAGGUUCGAUUCCUCAGCACCA
rnacentral:tRNA from 1 species